rnacentral:siRNA from 1 species
AGACUGGCCCUCGUUCUGACACUG